CAACAUUGUUUAUUUUCUUCUUUACUACAAAUAAUGUUCAGUCCAUGAAUAGACGGACUGCUCUUCUUUUAAAGCUUAUGUCCAAACGAGCAUAGUAAGUUUUGUGUAAAUCAUUUGGAAUUUCAACCCCAACAAUUACAGACCAUAUAACUU
rnacentral:lncRNA from 1 species